GAUGAACGCUGGCGGCGUGCUUAACACAUGCAAGUCGAACGGGAAUUACUUUAUUGAAACUUCGGUCGAUUUAAUUUAAUCCUAGUGGCGGACGGGUGAGUAACGCGUGGGUAACCUGCCUUAUACAGGGGGAUAACAGUCAGAAAUGGCUGCUAAUACCGCAUAAGCGCACAGAGCUGCAUGGCUCAGUGUGAAAAACUCCGGUGGUAUAAGAUGGACCCGCGUUGGAUUAGCUAGUUGGUGGGGUAACGGCCCACCAAGGCGACGAUCCAUAGCCGGCCUGAGAGGGUGAACGGCCACAUUGGGACUGAGACACGGCCCAGACUCCUACGGGAGGCAGCAGUGGGGAAUAUUGCACAAUGGGGGAAACCCUGAUGCAGCGACGCCGCGUGAAGGAAGAAGUAUCUCGGUAUGUAAACUUCUAUCAGCAGGGAAGAUAAUGACGGUACCUGACUAAGAAGCCCCGGCUAACUACGUGCCAGCCGCCGCCGUAA
rnacentral:rRNA from 1 species